UCUUCACACAGGUCUCUCCAUAGGGCUGCCAUCCCGCUGCUAGAGGUGGCAGGAGGCAUUUCCAGAGCUGUUAAGAGACAAUUUUGUUGGAAAGGGAGAUAAAAAAGGACAUCAAAGGGGAGCCCAGUGUGUGUGGAGAGGAGCCUGGGGGGCAGGGGAUUAAAUUCUACUCCAGCUGUGCAGGUGAUCAGAAGGCUGAUUGGUGGGGCCGUGGUCCCUAAGGGCACCAACCCCUAACCUUCCUUGCCAGUUUCUACUUCCUCACUUUAUCCAUCUGUGAAGUGGGUACAGUGGGGCCUGCCCUCUCUGUCAUGUGAACUCUUUCCUGAGACAAGCGACUCCUGGGAGCGCCAUGGGCUGGCUCCAUCGCAUCUGCCCAGCAGCCGCGGACAGGUGGACAGCAACUGAGUUUGGGGAAGAGGGGUCGGGGAGAAACGGCAG